rnacentral:rRNA from 1 species
GGCAGCAUGGUCUUAGCCUGCUAAGGCCGAUGGCGACCGGCGCACGGGUGAGUAACACGUAUCCAACCUGCCGUCUACUCUUGGACAGCCUUCUGAAAGGAAGAUUAAUACAAGAUGGCAUCAUGAGUUCACAUGUUCACAUGAUUAAAGGUAUUCCGGUAGACGAUGGGGAUGCGUUCCAUUAGAUAGUAGGCGGGGUAACGGCCCACCUAGUCUUCGAUGGAUAGGGGUUCUGAGAGGAAGGUCCCCCACAUUGGAACUGAGACACGGUCCAAACUCCUACGGGAGGCAGCAGUGAGGAAUAUUGGUCAAUGGGCGAGAGCCUGAACCAGCCAAGUAGCGUGAAGGAUGACUGCCCUAUGGGUUGUAAACUUCUUUUAUAAAGGAAUAAAGUCGGGUAUGCAUACCCGUUUGCAUGUACUUUAUGAAUAAGGAUCGGCUAACUCCGUGCCAGCAGCCGCGGUAAUACGGAGGAUCCGAGCGUUAUCCGGAUUUAUUGGG